CAGCAGCCACGGGAAUACGUAGGGUGCGAGCGUUAAUCGGAAUUACUGGGCGUAAGGCGUGCGCAGGCGGUUGUGUAAGACAGGUGUGAAGUCCCCGGGCUUAACCUGGGAACUGCGCUUGUGACUGCACAGCUAGAGUAUGGCAGAGGGGGGUGGAAUUCCACGUGUAGCAGUGAAAUGCGUAGAGAUGUGGAGGAACACCGAUGGCGAAGGCAGCCCCCUGGGCCAAUACUGACGCUCAUGCACGAAAGCGUGGGGAGCAAACAGGAUUAGAUACCCGUGUAGUCCCUGUCUCUUAUAA
rnacentral:rRNA from 1 species